rnacentral:rRNA from 1 species
CACAUGCAAGUCGAGGGGCAGCAUCAUUAAAGCUUGCUUUGAUGGAUGGCGACCGGCGCACGGGUGAGUAACACGUAUCCAACCUGCCGACAACACUGGGAUAGCCUUUCGAAAGAAAGAUUAAUACCGGAUGGCAUAGUCUUCCCGCAUGGGAUGACUAUUAAAGAAUUUCGGUUGUCGAUGGGGAUGCGUUCCAUUAGGCAGUUGGCGGGGUAACGGCCCACCAAACCAACGAUGGAUAGGGGUUCUGAGAGGAAGGUCCCCCACAUUGGAACUGAGACACGGUCCAAACUCCUACGGGAGGCAGCAGUGAGGAAUAUUGGUCAGUGGACGAGAGUCUGAACCAGCCAAGUAGCGUGAAGGAUGACUGCCCUAUGGGUUGUAAACUUCUUUUAUACGGGAAUAAAGUGAGCCACGUGUGGCUUUUUGUAUGUACCGUAUGAAUAAGGAUCGGCUAACUCCGUGCCAGCAGCCGCGGUAAUACGGAGGAUCCGAGCGUUAUCCGGAUUUAUUGGGUUUAAAGGGAGCGUAGGCGGGUUGUUAAGUCAGUUGUGAAAGUUUGCGGCUCAACCGUAAAAUUGCAGUUGAUACUGGCGACCUUGAGUGCAACAGAGGUAGGCGGAAUUCGUGGUGUAGCGGUGAAAUGCUUAGAUAUCACGAAGAACUCCGAUUGCGAAGGCAGCUUACUGGAUUGUAACUGACGCUGAUGCUCGAAAGUGUGGGUAUCAAACAGGAUUAGAUACCCUGGUAGUCCACACAGUAAACGAUGAAUACUCGCUGUUGGCGAUAUACGGUCAGCGGCCAAGCGAAAGCAUUAAGUAUUCCACCUGGG